GCAAUAUGCUACCACAAGGCGAAUGAGAAGCGACCCAAAUGUGGCAAUGGCAAUGUAUUUUAGAAUUUUCAUAGACACACCCCCACAAGUCCACAACACACCUAACCAUUUGCGACUCAAUGUUCUUUCAUUCUUCAUUCACUGGGCUUGUUGAUUCUUGCGUUUCUGAGUUCUCUGCGGUAUUGCUUUCUGUAAUUUCUUCUUCAAAUUGCACUCUCUACAUUAUGCACCUUGGGACCUGCAUUUUCUAUACCACAUAAGGUUGCUGAAGCUUCCGUUCAUCUGCUAUGCCCUUUAAGAGAAGAAUGUGGAGGUAGUUAAUUUGUUAUGCUGCAUAGAUGUCUUUCUUUUUUUCUUUUUCAUUGCAAAGGAGAUACUGAUGAGUUAAAAUCUAGAGGACUCAGAUUUCAAGAAUCUCUCUGCCUCCCACCCAACAUAAAGUAUGUAUUGCUGCUACAAGUGUUGAUUGUUGUAGUGUCUUCUUUCACAGGAAUAUGAUUUCUCACCUCCAGCCCAAGCAAAAGAGCAUAGAGCAGGGGAGUUCAGAGAAAUUAUUAUCCAGACCUCUCAAGUAGCUCACAGUGAAGUCUCUGGACAACUGACUUUGGAUGGGGCAGAUACCACAAGUCAAUGUAUCAAUAUUCAGUUUUUGGAAAUUCGUUCACUUUUAAAUUUGAGUAUCUCAAUGGUCAAGUGCAUCGAUUCAACUUUUCAACUGUGGAAGAUAAUGGCUUCACUGCCAAACCAAAGUUCAAUACUUACAGACCUUUAGUUUUGAAUUUUUGUUGUUAGUACUGGACUUCGCUGUAAAAAGUGUUUUUUAUAUUGAUUUUAGGGUAAAAUUGAAAAAUUAUAAAACGGGAAUAUUGAAAUUUCACUUCCGGAGCCAUUUAUCCGAUGUGAAAAGACUUCAGAAAAAUGACACAAAAAUUGAGAUAUGACAUUCGUUGGCAAUCGGUCCAAGGUCAAAUAUGAUGUAUCACUUCGGUUGGUUAUCCAAUAUAAUAUGUAUUUAGAUACCAUGAUGGUAGCAAUUAGCAAA